UUUGAUGUUCUAACGUUGGCCCCUGACCGGGGUUGCGGACAGUGUCUGGUGGGUAGUUUGACUGGGGCGGUCUCCUCCCAAAGCGUAACGGAGGAGCACGAAGGUUAGCUAAUCCUGGUCGGACAUCAGGAGGUUAGUGCAAUGGCAUAAGCUAGCUUGACUGCGAGCGUGACGGCGCGAGCAGGUGCGAAAGCAGGUCAUAGUGAUCCGGUGGUUCUGAAUGGAAGGGCCAUCGCUCAACGGAUAAAAGGUACUCCGGGGAUAACAGGCUGAUACCGCCCAAGAGUUCAUAUCGACGGCGGUGUUUGGCACCUCGAUGUCGGCUCAUCACAUCCUGGGGCUGAAGUAGGUCCCAAGGGUAUGGCUGUUCGCCAUUUAAAGUGGUACGCGAGCUGGGUUUAGAACGUCGUGAGACAGUUCGGUCCCUAUCUGCCGUGGGCGCUGGAGAAUUGAGGGGGGCUGCUCCUAGUACGAGAGGACCGGAGUGGACGCAUCACUGGUGUUCGGGUUGUCAUGCCAAUGGCACUGCCCGGUAGCUAAAUGCGGAAGAGAUAAGUGCUGAAAGCAUCUAAGCACGAAACUUGCCCCGAGAUGAGUUCUCCCUGAGACUUUAAGUCUCCUGAAGGAACGUUAAAGACGAUGACGUUGAUAGGCCGGGUGUGUAAGCGCAGCGAUGCGUUGAGCUAACCGGUACUAAUGAACCGUGAGGCUUAACCUU
rnacentral:rRNA from 1 species